rnacentral:rRNA from 1 species
UACAGAGGUCCCGAGCGUUGUUCGGAUUCACUGGGCGUAAAGGGUGCGCAGGUGGGUUGGCAAGUUCGAUGUGAAAGCCCCGGGCUUAACCCGGGAAUGGCAUUGAAUACUGUCGAUCUGGAGGAUUGGAGGGGGGACUGGAAUUCUUGGUGUAGCAGUGAAAUGCGUAGAGAUCGGGAAGAACACCGGUGGCGAAGGCGGCUCGCUGGGCCAAUGCUGACGCUGAUGCGCGAAAGCGUGGGGAGCAAACAGG